ensembl:lncRNA
CUGAUGCUGGGAGGGAUUGGGGGCAGGAGGAGAAGGGGACGACAGAGGAUGAGAUGGCUGGAUGGCAUCACCGACUUGAUGGACAUGAGUUUGAGUGAACUCCGGGAGUUGGUGAUGGACAGGGAGGCCUGGCGUGCUGCAAUUCAUGGGGUUUCAGAGAGUCGGACAUGACUGAGCGACUGAACUGAACUGAACUGAACUGAAGUAUGAAAGAGUGUUACUAUUCUCACAAAAUAAAAAGUGCCAAGGAAGACUUCCCAGAUUAUUAUCCAGGGCUCAAAGAUGAUAUCAAGGGAUCCAGACUCUGAAGUGAAGUGAAGUCACUCAGUCAUGUCUAACUCUUUGAGACCCCAUGUACUGUAACCUACCAGGCUCCUCCCUCCAUGGGAUUCUCCAGGCAAGAGUACUGGAGUGGGUUGCUAUUUUCCUUCUCCAGGGGAUCUUUCCGGGGAUCAAACCCCGGUCUCCGCAUUCCAGGAAGACGCUUUAACCUCUGAGCCACCAGACUCUUUCUAGUUUCCUAUUUUCCCACUCUUAACAAGUGUCUUUGUCACCAGAGUUGCAAGAUGGCUGCCGUGCCUCCAAGCAUUAUUUCUCUGUUCCAGGCAGGGAGAAGAGGGAGGAACAAAGGGCUUCUACUAUGUUUAUUCAGGUCAGGAGUUGGUAAACUACAGCCAGUGGACCAAGUCUGGCCCAUCACCUGUUUUGUUAGGGCUCACGAGGGAUAAUGGACUUCCCUGGUGGCUCAGACGGUAAAGCAUCUGCCUACAAUGCAGGAGACCCGGCUUCAAUCCCUGGGUCAGGAAGAUCUCCUGGAGAAGGAAAUGACAACCAACUCCAGUAUUCUUGCCUGGAAAAUCCCAUGGAUGGAGGAGCCUGGUAGGCUACAGUCCAUGCAGUCACAAAGAGUUGGACACAACUGAGUGACAUCACUUUCAGGGAUAAUUAUUUUAAAAUCACUGUUGCUCUAUGUUUAAAUGAAAAUCACAAAAUCUGGAAUUAGAAUUUCAGAACUGAAAGUAUGAAAGUUGCUG